AUUAAGUUGUUUUUCGUAAUUUAUUCCUACUCUACACACUCUACUUCGUACUAAAUCGAAGUAUAAGCGGUCAGGCACUGCAAUAAUGCGUCUUUUUCGGACUUUCUUCGUGGUCUUCAUCGCUUUUGGAGCACUUUUAUCAUGCCGCGUCUCGGCCGUGACGGAAACACGCCAGGGCUCCAUUGUUUACACCAGGGAUCAGCUGAUGAGUCUCCAGCACAGCGGGAUGUAUGGCCAGCGACACGAAAUCCCCAAAGAACUAAGAAGGAAACAACGUGGAAGCAGAGGGGGCAAAAGAAGACAGCUGAGGAAAAGAAGAUACAAGCCGUAUCUUCCUUCUAUCGUCAUGGGUAAUGUUAGAUCACUGGGUAAUAAGAUGGAAGAGUUAACAUCUCUCACAAAGAGCGAGUGUGUGUUUCGUGAGGCGUCUGUAAUGUGCUUUACAGAGACGUGGCUGCACGCAAACAUACCGGACUCUACCGUGAGUUUAGCCGGCUUUCAGUUGGUACGGGCGGACAGGAACUGCACCGAGAGCGGCAGGAAGAAAGGAGGGGGACUGGCGCUCUACGUGAACAACCGGUGGUGCAGCCCGGGACACGUUACGGUAAAGGAGCGUGUGUGCAGCCCGGACAUUGAACUGCUAGCGGUGAGUCUACGUCCGUAUUAUUUGCCCAGAGAGUUCUCUCACGCCAUUGUACUCGUUGUUUACAUUGCUCCCUCGGCUGAGGCGUCGCGGGCUACUGACGUCAUCAGCUCUGUGACCGCGAGGCUUCAGACCCAGCACCCUAAUGCCUUCAUAGCGAUUUCUGGCGAUUUUAACCAUGUUAAUCUGAAAUCAACUCUGCCCACUUUCAAGCAGUUUGUGGACUGUAAAACAAGAGAAAAUAAAACUCUAGAUUUACUGUAUGCUAAUGUUAAAGAGGCAUACAGCUCCAUAGCUCUCCCUCCCUUGGGCAGAUCAGACCAUAGCCUAGUCCACCUCAAACCCCAGUAUAUACCAGCAGUACAGCGGCAGCCGGUGACCACCAAAACUGUACGGAGAUGGACACCGGAAGCCCUGGAGACCCUGCAGGGAUGUUUUGAGGUGACUGACUGGGAUGUGUUCUGUGACACCCACGGUGAGGAUGUAGACACACUCACAGACUGUAUCACAGAAUAUGUUAAUUUUUGCACAGAUUCUCUAAUCCCCACCAGGUCAAUACGCUGCUUUCCAAACAAUAAACCAUGGGUGACAAAGGACAUCAAGGCAUCACUCAACAGAAAGAAGACAGCCUUCUUGAGUGGAGACAGAGAGGAGAUGAGGAGGGCCCAGGCAGAGGUGAGGGAGAAGAUUGGAGAGGGCAAGGAGAGCUACAGGAGGAAGCUGGAGAGCCAACUUGCCCGGAACAACUUGAGGGAGGUAUGGAGUGGCAUGCGAACCAUCACCGGCCACAAUAGGAUCUCCGACCAGCUGAUGGAUGGAGAUCUGCAGGAGGCCAACCAGCUGAACCUGUUUUUCAACAGGUUUGAUAGUCCACUCCCUGACCACCCUCCCCCUCCCUGUGAUGCACCAUUAACACCUGUCGAUAACAACAAUGUACCUCCUCCUCCUCCCCCUCCCCCUAACCACACUAACCAGUUUCACCUUCCCAUCAAUAACAUCACCCUGCCCCCCUUACCCCACCUCCCAUUAACAACCCCCCACCCUCCCCCUUCAGAUCUCUCUCUCUGCUCUUCUGUGUCCACAGUUACCAUCACCACAGAAGAUGUGAGGAGGGAGUUCAGUCGCCUACGACCGGGAAAAGCUGCAGGACCGGACGGACUCAGCCCCAGAGUACUCAGGGACUGCGCCACACAGCUGUGUGGGGUCUUCCAGCACAUCUUCUCCCUGAGUCUGAGCCUGAUGACUGUCCCUGCCCUGUGGAAGACAACAUGCCUUGUUCCUGUGCCCAAGACCAAACAUCCAAGCACACACAGCGACUACAGACCAGUUGCUCUGACUUCACAUGUGAUGAAGUCUCUGGAGAGGCUGGUCCUGAAACACCUGCGUGCUGUUGUGGAACCAUCGCUGGACCCCCUGCAGUUUGCUUACCAGCCCCGUAUUGGAGUG
ensembl:lncRNA